UUGGGCGACUUCAGAAUAUCGAAUAUUUCACCAGGCCCGGUCGUCCUGCCAAAUUUCAUGAGUUUUCGCCAGUGGGAAGUGGGCCAUUUUCCAGUUCAAAGGGGAGGAAAAAGAAGAAAGAAAGAAAGAAAGAAAGAAAGAAAGAAAGAAACAAAGAAAAACCACUUGGGGAAUAAUAGGGCUCUCGCAGCUGCUUAGCAGCUACGCUCGGGCCCUAACUAGGGCCCCGUUGGGGCACUGGCGGGCCCGAGCCGUGUCACGCCGCCCCCAGCGCGACCGCCUCCCCCACCCGAUCGCGUCACACUCAAGGUCCAAAGAUGGUGUGCGCACUUGUUUGUGGUCAUUUACCAUUAUAAUGAACGGGAGGCGCAGUUUCUAACAAAACGCUCGCUGCAGAAAAACUCCAUGUCCUAUUUGAAAAAAGUCUGGACCAUGAGUGAGGGCACAAACACAGCUAAGAUAUAUCCAAAUGGCAAGUUGCUCCUCCUUUCGCUUUUGCCGAGAGAGCAGUGCGUUUGAGCCAUUGAAUGAUGAACAGGAAAAACUUGACUUUAUUCUCCUGCCAUGGGGGGCGCUCUUUUAACGAGAAAAAACUCCUUCACAAAUGUGUUGAUGGCUGGACAUUGCAUCAUCCUAGAAAACAUGGAGGCCAGUGAGGACAAAAAUAAAAAGUUAUAAGACUUUUAAAUAUGUGGAUUUUACGGUUAUCUUUGGCGCCCCCUAGAACCUAAACCGUGGGGUGCAGCGUCAUGAUUUGAAUAACUUUUAAUGGCCAUGGGGUGUAGAUUGGCCUGAGCAAAUGUGGUGCCGGUGGAACGAAAGCCUUCGGAGGAGUUAGCGAAAUUCCAAUGUGUGCGAAUCUGCAAAAAAUGCGAAAUAACCCUUUAACCGUACAUUUGACAGAUACGUGGCCAUUGACUUUUUCGAAGAUCUUAUUGAAAUACACGUGUGUGUAAAAUUUUGUGUCAAUACGACAAAACAUACAGGCGUAGCACUCAACAAUGUGUAUUUUCACCUUAGUGGACAAGAAAAAAUGGACUUUUUUCUCCUGCCAUGGGGGGGCGCUCUUUUGGCGAGUAAAAAUUCCUUCACAAAUGUGUUGAUGGCUGGACAUUGCAUCAUCCUAGAAAACUUGGAGGCCAGUGGGGACAAAAAUAAAAAGUUAUAAGACUUUUAAAUAUGUGGAUUUUACGGUUAUCUUUGGCGCCCCCUAGAACCUAAACCGUGGGGUGCAGCGUCAUGAUUUGAAUAACUUUUAAUGGCCAUGGGGUGUAGAUUGGCCUGAGCAAAUGUGGUGCCGGUGGAACGAAAGCCUUCGGAGGAGUUAGCGAAAUUCCAAUGUGUGCGGAUCGGCAAAAAAUGCGGAAUAACCCUUUAACUGUACAUUUGACAGAUACGCGCGCAUUGACUUUUUCGUAGAUCUUAUUGAGAUACAUGUGUGUGUCAAUUUUUGUGUCAUUUUGCCAAAGCGUACAGGUGUUACACUCAACAAUGUGUAUUUUCACCUUAGGGGACAAGAAAAAAUGGACUUUUUUCUCCUGCCAUGGGGGGCGCUCUUUUGGGGAGUAAAAAUUUCUUCACAAAUGUGUUGAUGGCUGGACAUUGCAUCAUCCUAGAAAACUUGGAGGCCAGUGAGGGCAAAAAUAAAAAGUUAUAAGACUUUUAAAUAUGUGGAUCUUAGGGUUAUCUUUGGCGCCCCCUAGAACCUAAACCGUGGGGUGCAGCGUCAUGAUUUGAAUAACUUUUAAUGGCCAUGGGGUGUAGAUUGGCCUGAGCAAAUGUGGUGCCGGUGGAACGAAAGCCUUCGGAGGAGUUAGCGAAAUUCCAAUGUGUGCGGAUCGGCAAAAAAUGCGAAAUAACCCUUUAACCGUACAUUUGACAGAUACGCCCGCACUGACUUUUUUGUAGAUCUUAUUGAGAUACAUGUGUGUGUCAAUUUUUGUGUCAUUUUGACAAAGCGUACAGGCGUGACAGUCAAUAGUGUGAAUUUUCACCUUAGGGGGCGCUAUGGAGCCAUUUUGCAUUUUCUUGUUUGGGCGACUUCGGAAUAUCAAAUUUUUCACCAGGCCCGGUCGUCCUGCCAAAUUUCAUGAGUUUUCGCCAGUGGGAAGUGGGCCAUUUUCCAGUUCAAAGGGGAGGAAAAAUAAUAAUAAUAACUAGGGCCCCGGUGGGGCACUGUCGGGCCCGAGCCGCGUCGCGCCGCCCCUAGCGCGACC